rnacentral:rRNA from 1 species
UAGGGAAUCUUCCGCAAUGGACGCAAGUCUGACGGAGCAACGCCGCGUGAGUGAAGAAGGAUUUCGGUUCGUAAAACUCUGUUGUUAGAGAAGAACAGCGCAUAGAGUAACUGUUAUGCGUGUGACGGUAUCUAACCAGAAAGCCACGGCUAACUACGUGCCAGCAGCCGCGGUAAUACGUAGGUGGCAAGCGUUGUCCGGAUUUAUUGGGCGUAAAGCGAGCGCAGGCGGUCAAUUAAGUCUGAUGUGAAAGCCCCCGACUCAACCGGGGAGGGUCAUUGGAAACUGGUUGACUUGAGUGCAGAAGAGGAGAGUGGAAUUCCAUGUGUAGCGGUGAAAUGCGUAGAUAUAUGGAGGAACACCAGUGGCGAAGGCGACUCUCUGGUCUGUAACUGACGCUGAGGCUCGAAAGCGUGGGUAGCAAACAGG